UGGGGAAUUUUGCACAAUGGGGGAAACCCUGAUGCAGCGACGCCGCGUGAUUUAGAAGGCCUUCGGGUUGUAAAAAUCUUUUUUACGGGAUGAAAAUGACAGUACCGUAAGAAUAAGGUCCGGCUAAAUACGUGCCAGCAGCCGCGGUAAUACGUAUGGACCGAGCGUUGUCCGGAAUCAUUGGGCGUAAAGGGUACGUAGGCGGCCUAGUAAGUUAGAAGUGAAAUAAUAUAGCGCAACUAUAUAAAGCUUUUAAAACUGCUAGGCUUGAGAGAUGGAAGGGAAAGUGGAAUUCCUAGUGUAGCGGUGAAAUGCGCAGAUAUUAGGAAGAAUACCGGUGGCGAAGGCGACUUUCUGGUCAUCAUCUGACGCUGAGGUACGAAAGAGUGGGUAGCAACCAGG
rnacentral:rRNA from 1 species